CCUACGGGAGGCAGCAGUGGGGAAUAUUGGACAAUGGGCGAAAGCCUGAUCCAGCCAUGCCGCGUGUGUGAAGAAGGUCUUCGGAUUGUAAAGCACUUUAAGUUGGGAGGAAGGGCAGUAAGUUAAUACCUUGCUGUUUUGACGUUACCAACAGAAUAACCACCGGCUAACUUCGUGCCAGCAGCCGCGGUAAU
rnacentral:rRNA from 1 species